GAUGAACGCUGGCGGCGUGCUUAACACAUGCAAGUCGAACGGAAAGGCCCAAGCUUGCUUGGGUCCUCGAGUGGCGAACGGGUGAGUAACACGUGGGUGAUCUGCCCUGCACUUCGGGAUAAGCCUGGGAAACUGGGUCUAAUACCGGAUAGGACGAUGGUUUGGAUGCCAUUGUGGAAAGUUUUUUCGGUGUGGGAUGAGCUCGCGGCCUAUCAGCUUGUUGGGGGGGUAAUGGCCUACCAAGGCGUCGACGGGUAGCCGGCCUGAGAGGGUGUACGGCCACAUUGGGACUGAGAGAAGGCCCAGACUCCGACGGGGGGCAGCGAUGGGGAAUAUUGCACAAUGGGCGCAAGCCUGAUGCAGCGACGCCGCGUGGGGGAUGACGGCCUUCGGGUUGUAAACUCCUUUCGCUAGGGAAGAAGCGUUUUUGUGACGGUACCUGGAGAAGAAGCACCGGCUAACUACGUG
rnacentral:rRNA from 1 species